CAUGGCUCAGAUUGAACGCUGGCGGCAGGCCUAACACAUGCAAGUCGAGCGGUAGCACAGAGAGCUUGCUCUCGGGUGACGAGCGGCGGACGGGUGAGUAAUGUCUGGGAAACUGCCUGAUGGAGGGGGAUAACUACUGGAAACGGUAGCUAAUACCGCAUAAUGUCGCAAGACCAAAGUGGGGGACCUUCGGGCCUCAUGCCAUCAGAUGUGCCCAGAUGGGAUUAGCUAGUAGGUGGGGUAACGGCUCACCUAGGCGACGAUCCCUAGCUGGUCUGAGAGGAUGACCAGCCACACUGGAACUGAGACACGGUCCAGACUCCUACGGGAGGCAGCAGUGGGGAAUAUUGCACAAUGGGCGCAAGCCUGAUGCAGCCAUGCCGCGUGUGUGAAGAAGGCCUUCGGGUUGUAAAGCACUUUCAGCGGGGAGGAAGGCGNUAAGGUUAAUAACCYUYNUCGAUUGACGUUACCCGCAGAAGAAGCACCGGCUAACUCCGUGCCAGCAGCCGCGGUAAUACGGAGGGUGCAAGCGUUAAUCGGAAUUACUGGGCGUAAAGCGCACGCAGGCGGUCUGUCAAGUCGGAUGUGAAAUCCCCGGGCUCAACCUGGGAACUGCAUUCGAAACUGGCAGGCUAGAGUCUUGUAGAGGGGGGUAGAAUUCCAGGUGUAGCGGUGAAAUGCGUAGAGAUCUGGAGGAAUACCGGUGGCGAAGGCGGCCCCCUGGACAAAGACUGACGCUCAGGUGCGAAAGCGUGGGGAGCAAACAGGAUUAGAUACCCUGGUAGUCCACGCCGUAAACGAUGUCGAUUUGGAGGUUGUGCCCUUGAGGCGUGGCUUCCGGAGCUAACGCGUUAAAUCGACCGCCUGGGGAGUACGGCCGCAAGGUUAAAACUCAAAUGAAUUGACGGGGGCCCGCACAAGCGGUGGAGCAUGUGGUUUAAUUCGAUGCAACGCGAAGAACCUUACCUGGUCUUGACAUCCACAGAACUUUCCAGAGAUGGAUUGGUGCCUUCGGGAACUGUGAGACAGGUGCUGCAUGGCUGUCGUCAGCUCGUGUUGUGAAAUGUUGGGUUAAGUCCCGCAACGAGCGCAACCCUUAUCCUUUGUUGCCAGCGGUUAGGCCGGGAACUCAAAGGAGACUGCCAGUGAUAAACUGGAGGAAGGUGGGGAUGACGUCAAGUCAUCAUGGCCCUUACGACCAGGGCUACACACGUGCUACAAUGGCAUAUACAAAGAGAAGCGACCUCGCGAGAGCAAGCGGACCUCAUAAAGUAUGUCGUAGUCCGGAUUGGAGUCUGCAACUCGACUCCAUGAAGUCGGAAUCGCUAGUAAUCGUAGAUCAGAAUGCUACGGUGAAUACGUUCCCGGGCCUUGUACACACCGCCCGUCACACCAUGGGAGUGGGUUGCAAAAGAAGUAGGUAGCUUAACCUUCGGGAGGGCGCUUACCACUUUGUGAUUCAUGACUGGGGUGAAGUCG
rnacentral:rRNA from 1 species